UACGGGGGGAGCAAGCGUUGUUCGGAUUUACUGGGCGUAAAGGGCGCGUAGGCGGUCGUGACAAGUCACUUGUGAAAUCUCCGGGCUUAACUCGGAACGGUCAAGUGAUACUGUCGGACUAGAGUACAGAAGGGGCAACUGGAAUUCUCGGUGUAGCGGUGAAAUGCGUAGAUAUCGAGAGGAACACCUGCGGCGAAGGCGGGUUGCUGGGCUGAUACUGACGCUGAGGCGCGAAAGCCAGGGGAGCGAACGG
rnacentral:rRNA from 1 species